AUAUAUAUAUAUAUAUAUAUAUAUAUAUAUAUAUAUAUAUAUAUAUAUAUGAGCAACAUAUUUUUUUUAAACAUAUACAUGCAUGUGUUUGUAUUUAUAUAUACAUAGUAAAUAUAGUGCAACCAAUACAACCUCAUGCGUAACACACAGUAUGCACACAUUAUGUAAAGAAAAACUUUUAUUUUAGAUGCAAUUAAUCGCGAGUAAUUGUUUGACAGCACUAAUAUACUGUAUAUAUACUGCAAUUUGCAACUGCAUAGCAACUAAACACAUUAUGUAGUGUUGAGUUUGCAUGUGCAAGCCCUUUUUUUUCAGGUAAUUUUAAAUCACAUUGAAUACGUUUUUGCAUCUACUUUUAUGAAUUUAAUUGCAUGAAUUAAUUUAGUUUAUGAAUUAUGAAUUGUCUUUCUCUCCUGAAAGACUUUCUGUCUUUCUCUCCUCCUACAUGGAGUAAUAAAGGAACACUUAAGGUCCCAUUUGUUAACCAACAUUAACCAAUGAGCAUUGCAUUUGUUAUAGUAUUUAUUCAUCUUUGUUCAUUUUAGUUCAUGUUAGCGAAGGUCCAUUAAAUGUUAACAGAUACAAAUUUUCAAUUGUAUUAAUAUAUUAGUCAGUGCUGAAAUUAACAUUAGGAUUUAUACAAGUAUUUUUCAUUUUUAGGUUAUGUUGCCGAAUGUAGUUAACUAAUGUCAACAUAUGGAACCUUACUGAAAAUUGCACUUAAAACAGGAUCAAUAUGUUCUCCAGCCUCAUGUGAAUGGCACAUUUACUCAACACUCAACCUCAGACUCUUAAAGGACAAGUUAGGCAAGCUUUGAUGCUUUAUCAGGAUUCACUUUGUUUGAUGUGACCUGUUUCAAAAUGAGCAAGUGUUGAAACCUCUGCGUUCAGUUCUUCAUGUUAACCCUUUCUAGUGUACACUGGUAUUCAGAGCUCGCGUGUCAUGCUUCCACUCGAAAUAGUUUUGUUUCCACCUUCAAAGACAGGGACUUCACAUGUCUGUCGCACACUAAGUGAUACCCACAUCAGCUUUGUCUGAUUAUUUGGAUUGUCCAAUGACAUCAUUUUUAUACAAAAUUGGAUUUAAUUUAUUUUUACAUUAAUGCAUCAAAAUAAGUUUAGCAAUUUCAACUUUUUUAUAUUAUACUUAAGGCAGCGUCUGAAUUUAAGAUUCUAAGCUGAAUUGUUGUUUAUUAUUUUAAGUAGUUAAAUUUGUUUAAUUUUACAUUUUUAUGAUCUUUUCGUGGUAUAAUGUCAUGUUUAAUACACUUUAUGAUAUUGAUAAAGAACAACAUAUAUUUUCUUACUAGUUAGGGCAAUAGUAAUCUAAAAAUAAUCAAAAGUCUGAAUACAUUUGCUAAUAUGUGUAAUCCAACAGAUUACUUUACGAACUACUAUUUUCAUAAUGAAUUAUCAGUAAUGAACUACAAGUGAUCUGCCCAGCACUGGUCUUAAAUCAGUGUGAACAGAACAAGGUUUGAACAAAAUAUGUUUUAAAAGAGAAUGGCUAAUUAUAAUUUUUACACAUAAUUUUGUGUGAUUUUUUUUUUUUUUAACAAUAAAAUAAAUUCCAAAAUUCAUUAAUUCAACUGAAAUGCAUAAGCUGAAAUAAAACAAUUACACCAAGUAAAUUAAAGCUAAAUAGAAAUGUAAAAAAGCAUAUUAAUUAAAUAAGUAAAUGAUGAAAGUGGAUAGCAAUGACUAAAGCCUAAACUAAAAUAAAAAAAAAAUAAAAAAAUUCAAAAUAAUAAACAGUGUUGGGGUAAUGCAGUACAAGUAAAGCGAGUUACGUAAUCAGAUUACUUUUUUCAAGUAACUAGUAAAGUAACGCAUUACUUUUUAAAUUUACAACAAAAAUAUCUAAGCUACUAACACAAGUUACUUUGUUUUCCCAUUUAUUCACUGACAGCAGCAAUCAGGAGUGAGGUGAAGAGGCACUUCCUUCAGACUGAGGCUUGUUCAUUUCACUUUUGCACCCUGGCGCCAUUAUGGAGAGUAUCACGAUGCAUGCCUUGAACAUCGGAGUACCCUUGCUCUCUAUGGAGGGUCAGAAAGCUCUCGGAUUUCGUCAAAAAUAUCUUAAUUUGUGUUUCAAAGAUGAACAAAGGUCUUACGGGUUUGGAACGACAUGAGGGUGAGUAAUUACUGACUGUAUUUUCAUUUUUGGUUGAACUAUCUCUUGAAGAUUUGGAUUCUGAAGGUUGUUCUGGUGUUUGCUUAGUAGUUGCAUUCAGUCACUGGCUUGUCUCCGUAAAUCCAGUGGCGCAUGUCUGUAUCUACCUGCCCACAACUGCUUGCUCACGCUUGAGUGCUUGCCCCCUUAACGACUCUCCCAGGGCCAGCCAUUACAAAUACUCACUGAUUUACCUCCCAGCCAGGUGAGCAUAACAUGUUGUCUCGACAGCUGUUCUGUGAAACGCCUCGGGCAUCUGAAUGUUUUAGUAUCUCAGCUGCUGGAGUGUGGAGCAAGCGGCACAAAGGUCAUGGGUUUGUUCUCCAGGAAACACUGAUAUAAUCUGAGCACCGAAUGCACUGUAUGUCCCUAGAAGCAUCGAGCAAAAUCAAUGCCUACAGCCUGUUUUUACAUCUACACUACAGUAGCAGUGCACUAAACCCACACAUGACAGGAAAUUAAAAAGUGUGCUUAAUUAUAUUGUAAUGCAUUUUAGAUCUUAAAGUUUAUAAAGUGCACAUAUAGGGGGGAAAAAUGGUAUUUACAGAUAAUACAUAUUAAUAAAAGGCCACUUAAGUGUAGGCCUACUUUAAGUGAGUUCACUUUUAUUACUAUGUUUCUAAACGUACUUAAGUACACUUUAAAUAAGUGCACUCUGUUAAAAUACUUGUGCUUUAAUCAUCUUUCAUUGUGCUUUCUUAUUUUAAUGUGUAGUAAAGCAUGUGUAAAGUACUUGAUUGUAAUUUUAACUGCAAUGAGUUUUUUUUUUAUUUUUCAUUUAAUGUUAAUAUUAUGUUAUAUUUUAAAUAUAUCACCAGUACACAUGACAUUAACAUAUUUUUUAGUUGAUCAUAAACGCAUGUCGGUACAUUCAGUAGUUCCACUUUAACCAUAUUCCAGUAGAUUUAGGAAAUUAUAUUUAAAGACAUACUUAAGUUUAACUAAUUGAAUUUAAUAUGAAUUUGAACUGUGAUGAUUUAAAAUGCAGUUAAGUGUCUGAAAACAUUACAUUUAGCUCAUUCUUCUUUUAUAAUAUUUCAUUAAUAAUAUUCUUUUUAAAAGUAUACUUAAGUGGACUUCUUUUUCACAAGGGUGGGCUUGAAUGAAAAAAGACUGUCCUCCGCUGAAGUUGUCUUAAGUUGAACUGGUUCUGGGAAGCCUCUGUCUCAGGUGUACGUGGAGCUGAAAAACAGCUUGUGUUCUUGUGAGGGCAGGGAGAGCGUGGAUCACGACACGCUUCUCUCUCAGUCAUCUCCAUUGACAGCGGUUGCUAUGCACAGGACGAGACUGAGAGAUGGUCAUGCGCUUCAGCUGGUACACAUGAAUGAACAUGUCCAUUAUGACCCUGCUGUUACAUACACUCUCAGCCAAUCAUGCAGAUCUUAAAACAGAGUGUACAACCGAAUAUAGCUGCACAUAAACAGCAAUCUAAUGAACAUUCAAAGAGUUCCUUCUCCCCUCACAUCAAAAAAAAAAAAUAAAAAAAAUAAUACAAUAAUAAAA